rnacentral:rRNA from 1 species
UGGAUCCAGAACUUUCCUCAUGGCUCAGGAUGAACGCUAGCUACAGGCUUAACACAUGCAAGUCGAGGGGAAACGACAUCGAAAGCUUGCUUUUGAUGGGCGUCGACCGGCGCACGGGUGAGUAACGCGUAUCCAACCUGCCCACCACUUGGGGAUAACCUUGCGAAAGUAAGACUAAUACCCAAUGACGUCUCUAGAAGACAUCUGAAAGAGAUUAAAGAUUUAUCGGUGAUGGAUGGGGAUGCGUCUGAUUAGCUUGUUGGCGGGGUAACGGCCCACCAAGGCUACGAUCAGUAGGGGUUCUGAGAGGAAGGUCCCCCACAUUGGAACUGAGACACGGUCCAAACUCCUACGGGAGGCAGCAGUGAGGAAUAUUGGUCAAUGGACGAGAGUCUGAACCAGCCAAGUAGCGUGCAGGAUGACGGCCCUAUGGGUUGUAAACUGCUUUUAUAAGGGAAUAAAGUGAGUCUCGUGAGGCUUUUUGCAUGUACCUUAUGAAUAAGGACCGGCUAAUUCCGUGCCAGCAGCCGCGGUAAUACGGAAGGUCCGGGCGUUAUCCGGAUUUAUUGGGUUUAAAGGGAGCGUAGGCCGGAGAUUAAGCGUGUUGUGAAAUGUAGACGCUCAACGUCU